rnacentral:rRNA from 1 species
GAUGAACGCUGGCGGCGUGCCUAAUACAUGCAAGUCGAGCGAACGGACGAGAAGCUUGCUUCUCUGAUGUUAGCGGCGGACGGGUGAGUAACACGUGGAUAACCUACCUAUAAGACUGGGAUAACUUCGGGAAACCGGAGCUAAUACCGGAUGAUAUUUUGAACCGCAUGGUUCAAAAGUGAAAGACGGUCUUGCUGUCACUUAUAGAUGGAUCCGCGCUGCAUUAGCUAGUUGGUAAGGUAACGGCUUACCAAGGCAACGAUGCAUAGCCGACCUGAGAGGGUGAUCGGCCACACUGGAACUGAGACACGGUCCAGACUCCUACGGGAGGCAGCAGUAGGGAAUCUUCCGCAAUGGGCGAAAGCCUGACGGAGCAACGCCGCGUGAGUGAUGAAGGUCUUCGGAUCGUAAAACUCUGUUAUUAGGGAAGAACAUAUGUGUAAGUAACUGUGCACAUCUUGACGGUACCUAAUCAGGAAGCCACGGCUAACUACGUG